AAGUCGUAACACGGUUUCCGUAGGAACCUGCGGAAGGAUCACACGUAUCCAAACGUUUCAACAACCCUGUGAACCUUCAGCGUGUUCUUGCAGGACAUCAAAACAGCAAUCCCGAGUAAAUCAGGAGCUAAAGAAUUACAGAUUUUGAUUUUGGGAAGUUCUGUGUGUACGUGGACGCUGCAAUUGAUUGAGCGCUAGAUAGGAGCACUCCCCUGUCUGAAAGCGGCAGGGAUCAAUGUUCACGGUGGCGCAGUCAACGAUCGCUGUAGGUCCACACGACAGGCGACCGGGGUGGAGGCGAAAGCCCCUACGUCAUCCCUAUGUACUCCGGGACUUGGCGAAAGCUGACUCCGUCAUAAAUCGAACAACUGUUAACAAUGGAUAUCUUGGUUCUC
rnacentral:misc_RNA from 1 species